rnacentral:tRNA from 1 species
GCCCAGGUGGUGGAAUGGUAGACACGCUACUUUGAGGGGGUAGUGCCAGAAAUGGUGUGCAGGUUCGACUCUUGUCCUGGGCA